rnacentral:rRNA from 1 species
AGAGUUUGAUCAUGGCUCAGAAUGAACGCUGGCGGCAUGCCUAACACAUGCAAGUCGAACGAAGGCUUCGGCCUUAGUGGCGCACGGGUGCGUAACGCGUGGGAAUCUGCCCUUGGGUUCGGAAUAACAGUUAGAAAUGACUGCUAAUACCGGAUGAUGUCGUAAGACCAAAGAUUUAUCGCCCAAGGAUGAGCCCGCGUAGGAUUAGCUAGUUGGUGAGGUAAAAGCUCACCAAGGCGACGAUCCUUAGCUGGUCUGAGAGGAUGAUCAGCCACACUGGGACUGAGACACGGCCCAGACUCCUACGGGAGGCAGCAGUGGGGAAUAUUGGACAAUGGGCGAAAGCCUGAUCCAGCAAUGCCGCGUGAGUGAUGAAGGCCUUAGGGUUGUAAAGCUCUUUUACCCGGGAUGAUAAUGACAGUACCGGGAGAAUAAGCUCCGGCUAACUUCGUGCCAGCAGCCGCGGUAAUACGAGGGGAGCUAGCGUUAUUCGGAAUUACUGGGCGUAAAGCGCACGUAGGCGGCUUUGUAAGUUAGAGGUGAAAGCCCGGGGCUCAACUCCGGAAUUGCCUUUAAGACUGCAUCGCUUGAAUCCAGGAGAGGUGAGUGGAAUUCCGAGUGUAGAGGUGAAAUUCGUAGAUAUUCGGAAGAACACCAGUGGCGAAGGCGGCUCACUGGACUGGUAUUGACGCUGAGGUGC